CAAUAGCGUAUAUUUAAGUUGUUGCAGUUAAAAAGCUCGUAGUUGGAUUUCGGUUGAGAACGGCCGGUCCGCCGUUUGGUGUGCACUGGCUGGUUUCAACUUCCUGUAGAGGACGUGCUCUGGCUUCACGGCUGGACGCGGAGUCUACGUGGUUACUUUGAAAAAAUUAGAGUGUUCAAAGCGGGCUUACGCUUGAAUAUUUCAGCAUGGAAUAACACUAUAGGACUCCUGUCCUAUUUCGUUGGUCUCGGGACGGGAGUAAUGAUUAAGAGGAACAGUUGGGGGCAUUCGUAUUUCAUUGUCAGAGGUGAAAUUCUUGGAUUUAUGAAAGACGAGCUUCUGCGAAAGCAUUUGCCAAGGAUGUUUUCAUUAA
rnacentral:rRNA from 1 species